rnacentral:rRNA from 1 species
UACAGAGGGUGCGAGCGUUGUCCGGAAUCACUGGGCGUAAAGGGCGCGUAGGCGGCUCGGUAAGGUUGCGGUGAAAGCCCCGGGGCUCAACCCCGGGUCGGCCGUGGCAACUGCUGAGCUGGAGCACUGUAGAGGCAGGUGGAAUUCCGGGUGUAGCGGUGGAAUGCGUAGAGAUCCGGAAGAACACCGGUGGCGAAGGCGGCCUGCUGGGCAGUGGCUGACGCUGAGGCGCGACAGCGUGGGGGAGCAAACAGG